rnacentral:rRNA from 1 species
UACAGAGGUCUCAAGCGUUGUUCGGAUUCAUUGGGCGUAAAGGGUGCUCAGGUGGUUUUGUAAGUCAGAGGUGAGAUUUCGGGGCUCAACCCCGGACCUGCCUUUGAUACUGCAAAGCUUGUGUACGGAAGAGGCUGAUGGAAUUUCUGGUGUAGCAGUGAAAUGCGCAGAUAUCAGGAGGAACACCGGUGGCGAAGGCGGGACUCUGGGCCGAUACUGACGCUGAGGAGCGAAAGCGUGGGGAGCAAACAGG